rnacentral:rRNA from 1 species
UGCUAACUGCGAUGGAGAGACGGAGAAGGCUAGGCCGGCGCGGCGUUGGUUGUCCGCGUUUAAGGUAGUAGGUGGUGUGCUUAGGCAAAUCCGGGCACACAUACACUGAGAGCUGACGACGAGUCCCCAAGGGGAUGAAGUGGUUGAUGCCAUGCUUCCAGGAAAAUCUUCUAAGCUUCAGGUUAGCAGGAAUCGUACCCCAAACCGACACAGGUGGUCGGGUAGAGAAUACCAAGGCGCUUGAGAGAACUCGGC